AACGAACGCUGGCGGCAUGCCUAACACAUGCAAGUCGAACGAGACCUUCGGGUCUAGUGGCGCACGGGUGCGUAACGCGUGGGAAUCUGCCCUUGGGUUCGGAAUAACAGUUAGAAAUGACUGCUAAUACCGAAUGAUGUCUUCGGACCAAAGAUUUAUCGCCCAGGGAUGAGCCCGCGUCGGAUUAGCUAGUUGGUGAGGUAAAGGCUCACCAAGGCGACGAUCCGUAGCUGGUCUGAGAGGAUGAUCAGCAACACUGGGACUGAGACACGGCCCAGACUCCUACGGGAGGCAGCAGUGGUGAAUAUUGGACAAUGGGCGAAAGCCUGAUCCAGCAAUGCCGCGUGAGUGAUGAAGGCCUUAGGGUUGUAAAGCUCUUUUACCCGGGAUGAUAAUGACAGUACCGGGAGAAUAAGCCCCGGCUAACUCCGUGCCAGCCGCCGCUGUAAUAC
rnacentral:rRNA from 1 species